rnacentral:rRNA from 1 species
AGAGUUUGAUCCUGGCUCAGAACGAACGCUGGCGGCAGGCUUAACACAUGCAAGUCGAGCGCCCCGCAAGGGGAGCGGCAGACGGGUGAGUAACGCGUGGGAAUCUACCCAUCACUACGGAACAACUCCGGGAAACUGGAGCUAAUACCGUAUACGUCCUUCGGGAGAAAGAUUUAUCGGUGAUGGAUGAGCCCGCGUUGGAUUAGCUAGUUGGUGGGGUAAUGGCCUACCAAGGCGACGAUCCAUAGCUGGUCUGAGAGGAUGAUCAGCCACAUUGGGACUGAGACACGGCCCAAACUCCUACGGGAGGCAGCAGUGGGGAAUAUUGGACAAUGGGCGAAAGCCUGAUCCAGCCAUGCCGCGUGAGUGAUGAAGGCCCUAGGGUUGUAAAGCUCUUUCACCGGUGAAGAUAAUGACGGUAACCGGAGAAGAAGCCCCGGCUAACUUCGUGCCAGCAGCCGCGGUAAUACGAAGGGGGCUAGCGUUGCUCGGAAUCACUGGGCGUAAAGGGUGCGUAGGCGGGUUAUUAAGUCAGAGGUGAAAUCCUGGAGCUCAACUCCAGAACUGCCUUUGAUACUGAUAGUCUUGAGUAUGGGAGAGGUGAGUGGAACUGCGAGUGUAGAGGUGAAAUUCGUAGAUAUUCGCAAGAACACCAGUGGCGAAGGCGGCUCACUGGCUCGAUACUGACGCUGAGGCACGAAAGCGUGGGGAGCAAACAGGAUUAGAUACCCUGGUAGUCCACGCCGUAAACGAUGAAUGCCAGCCGUUAGUGGGUUUACUCACUAGUGGCGCAGCUAACGCUUUAAGCAUUCCGCCUGGGGAGUACGGUCGCAAGAUUAAAACUCAAAC